GACGUAGGGCGCGAGCGUUGUCCGGAAUUAUUGGGCGUAAAGAGCUCGUAGGCGGCUUGUCGCGUCGACUGUGAAAACCCGUGGCUCAACCAUGCGGUCUGCAGUCGAUACGGGCAGGCUAGAAUUCGGUAGGGGAGACUGGAAUUCCUGGUGUAGCGGUGAAAUGCGCAGAUAUCAGGAGGAACACCGGUGGCGAAGGCGGGUCUCUGGACAGUUCCUGACACUGAGGCACGAAGGCCAGGGGAGCAAACGGG
rnacentral:rRNA from 1 species